rnacentral:rRNA from 1 species
CCCCUAGAUGUUCUGGGCCGCACGCGCGCUACACUGAACAGUUCAACAAGUCUUAACCUUGGGCGAUAGGUCUGGGUAAUCUUUGAACGCUGUUCGUGACUGGGAUAGACCUUUGCAAUUAUGGGUCUUCAACGAGGAAUUCCUAGUAAACGCAAGUCAUCAGCUUGCAUUGAUUACGUCCCUGCCCUUUGUACACACCGCCCGUCGCACCUACCGAUUGAAUGGUCCGGUGAAAUCUCGGGACGGCGGCUUGGUCGCUUGCGUCCGACUGCUGAAACUUGAUUAAACCAUAUCAUUUAGAGGAAGGUGAAGUCGUAACA